ACGACCUUACUUGAACAGGAUCUGUUCUAUAGGCUCGUACCACUGUAUCCUUGAGUUCUAAGGAGACAGGAAAUCAAGUCUGGUUGAUGAAGCAAAGCCAUGUGACCAGAGCGUGAUUAACAGUUUCCAUGAGUCCUCAUUGAGUCGUGGUGCAGUAGAUGAUCGUUCUCGGACCUAUUCUCAGGCCUGAGAUGGUCUCAUGGCUGUCUGACAGACC